UGUGAUGUUGUUUUUUCAUUCAAGUCAAAAAAAAAAAACUUUGUUCAGAAUUGCUGCUUGCCGAAAUGCGAAAACAGUGCCUUAUCAAAUGUAUUGAAAUAUUAUCCAUUAGGAUAAUAUUUCAAUGCAUUUGAUUCCUUCUGAUAAAAGACUUCGACAAGAAUGGGUCUCAAAAAUCCGCCGUGAUGAUACCAGAUGCACAUCAAUAUCGAAGCAUAUGCGUGUUUGUUCUGUUCAUUUCAAGCCAUAUGUUUACUCACAAAGGAAACAAGAAAAGGAAAUUAAUCAAGAGAGCAAUUCCUUCCAUUUUUACUUCUGCACCUCCGCAGAAAAAAAAGGAAACUUCCAUGCCCAAAUAUUAUGAAUGAUGAGGUUAUGCCUUGAAUAAUCUUUUUGUUUCUCGAGGUCCACUACCUGGAAGCUACGAAAUCUUGGUGAUUAUUCCGCUGAAGAUGAUAUUUUAUCUUGACAAAGUAUAAAUAUUGUGUGACUCUUGCGUCGCGUGAAGUAACCACAUUAUCUGUUAUCUAAUUAGUUAAUGAAAAUAAAUUAAUGUUAAGUGUA